rnacentral:rRNA from 1 species
AGAGUUUGAUCAUGGCUCAGAUUGAACGCUGGCGGCAGGCCUAAUACAUGCAAGUCGAACGGUAACAUAGGAAAAGCUUGCUUUUCCUGAUGACGAGUGGCGGACGGGUGAGUAAAGUUUGGGAAGCUACCUGAUAGAGGGGGACAACAGUUGGAAACGACUGCUAAUACCGCAUACAGCCUGAGGGUGAAAGCAGCAAUGCGCUAUCAGAUGCGCCCAAAUGGGAUUAGCUAGUAGGUGAGGUAAAGGCUCACCUAGGCGACGAUCUCUAGCUGGUCUGAGAGGAUGAUCAGCCACAUUGGGACUGAGACACGGCCCAGACUCCUACGGGAGGCAGCAGUAGGGAAUAUUGCACAAUGGAGGAAACUCUGAUGGACCAGCCAUGCCGCGUGUGUGAAGAAGGCCUUCGGGUUGUAAAGCACUUUCGGAGGGAGGAGAAUGACGUUACCCUCAGAAGAAGCACCGGCUAACUCCGUGCCAGCAGCUGC